CUGGAUAACAGUGUGUACCAGUGUGUACCAGAUGUGAAUGUGCCCCUUGAAGGUUUUGCCAGGUUGUACCUUCGUGCCUCCCCUCUGAUGCAGCUGUAGCUCAGCUGGUAAAAAGGUUUGUUUGGGAGCACUUUCAUUUGCUUCAGGCAAAGCGAGCAGGUUGGUUUAUACCCUCUUUGUUGACUAAUCCAUCUGACUUGUUGGAAGCACACGAGGGAGUGCUCACUUAAUUCCUUCUGCCAACAGAGCUGCGGGGGUGGAAUCUCUCGGCAGAGGAGUGGUAAGGAACAACUGGAAGAAUGAUCAUGUCACCGAGCAGCCGGCACACCUGUCUGCGAGCUGAGUGCCAGCGCAUGACCUACUCCUGUCUGCACCAUGGGUUUUGUAGCUCUUCCAAACAGGCCAGGUGAAGAUAAAGAGCAUUUGUGGAGGAGGAAAGCAGAUUCCACCUCCACAGCUCCAACCACAUGCCCUCACCAAUAAAUAGAGGCAUCAGCAUUUGCAUAGAAGAAUGAGGAAGGAGAGCUUGCUCCAUAUGCACUUUUGUCUGGUGCUGCUGGAUCCAGACCCAGCACUGGUGUGCAGAGCUGUUCCUGGCAAGGGAAGCUGCCCAUUUACUUGAAGCCUACCUGUCUUUAAUAGGCAUUAAAGCCACAUUUAGAGCACAAUC